UACUAAGAAUUUUUUCUUUUUUUAAAAAAUGAAAUUGUUCUUUACUGUUUUUACUGUUGUUAUAACUGAGCAGUUGAGACAAGGUAGACUAUGCCAAAGAAUUUACUUCUUGCAGUUCUAGACACUAAAAUGUCCAAGCUCGUAUCUGGUUAUAGCCCAGAACGUCCUAUGGUGAGGGGACUUGUGAGGACUGCUUAAGCCUUUAUGACUAAGCCUUUAUGAUUCACAGGCAUGGCCGUCUUGUCACAAUGUAUCGUCCCUUCGGUUGCUCACGCCUCAGCUGGUCUAGGAGAAAUUGGUCUUCCCAUGAUAGUGCUACAGGAAUGAAACUCUGUUGCUACUGACAUUUUGCUGUUACAGAAUUACUUUUGUUGCCGGUGAUGAGAGCCCAGUCAUCAUCCAAAGAUCCCACCUCAGCUGCCAUUAGCAUUUAGUGAAAAGACAGGAGUCUAAAGCAGUAAACCAACACAGCGUGACCUUGUGUCUUGCUCUUGCCCUUGCUCCAACAGCUGUCUGCGUGUGUUCCUCCGGUAGGAAUGCUCCCCUCAGUCAAAUCUCUCUACUGAAGCUGGGGAGGGGGAGGUCUUCCUACUUUUGAAUAUGUAUAUUUAAAGAUUUUUUUAUUAUUUCA